rnacentral:rRNA from 1 species
AUGCAGUCGACGGUGAACACGGAGCUUGCUCUGUGGGAUCAGUGGCGAACGGGUGAGUAACACGUGAGCAACCUGCCCCUGACUCUGGGAUAAGCGCUGGAAACGGCGUCUAAUACUGGAUAUGUGACGUGACCGCAUGGUCUGCGUCUGGAAAGAAUUUCGGUUGGGGAUGGGCUCGCGGCCUAUCAGCUUGUUGGUGAGGUAAUGGCUCACCAAGGCGUCGACGGGUAGCCGGCCUGAGAGGGUGACCGGCCACACUGGGACUGAGACACGGCCCAGACUCCUACGGGAGGCAGCAGUGGGGAAUAUUGCACAAUGGGCGCAAGCCUGAUGCAGCAACGCCGCGUGAGGGACGACGGCCUUCGGGUUGUAAACCUCUUUUAGCAGGGAAGAAGCGAAAGUGACGGUACCUGCAGAAAAAGCGCCGGCUAACUACGUGCCAGCAGCCGCGGUAAUACGUAGGGCGCAAGCGUUAUCCGGAAUUAUUGGGCGUAAAGAGCUCGUAGGCGGUUUGUCGCGUCUGCUGUGAAAUCCGGAGGCUCAACCUCCGGCCUGCAGUGGGUACGGGCAGACUAGAGUGCGGUAGGGGAGAUUGGAAUUCCUGGUGUAGCGGUGGAAUGCGCAGAUAUCAGGAGGAACACCGAUGGCGAAGGCAGAUCUCUGGGCCGUAACUGACGCUGAGGAGCGAAAGGGUGGGGAGCAAACAGGCUUAGAUACCCUGGUAGUCCACCCCGUAAACGUUGGGAACUAGUUGUGGGGUCCAUUCCACGGAUUCCGUGACGCAGCUAACGCAUUAAGUUCCCCGCCUGGGGAGUACGGCCGCAAGGCUAAAACUCAGAGGAAUUGACGGGGACCCGCACAAGCGGCGGAGCAUGCGGAUUAAUUCGAUGCAACGCGAAGAACCUUACCAAGGCUUGACAUAUACGAGAACGGGCCAGAAAUGGUCAACUCUUUGGACACUCGUAAACAGGUGGUGCAUGGUUGUCGUCAGCUCGUGUCGUGAGAUGUUGGGUUAAGUCCCGCAACGAGCGCAACCCUCGUUCUAUGUUGCCAGCACGUAAUGGUGGGAACUCAUGGGAUACUGCCGGGGUCAACUCGGAGGAAGGUGGGGAU